rnacentral:rRNA from 1 species
GAUCAUGGCUCAGAGCGAACGCUGGCGGCAGGCUUAACACAUGCAAGUCGAGCGGGCGUAGCAAUACGUCAGGGGCAGACGGGUGAGUAACGCGUGGGAACGUACCUUUUGGUUCGGAACAACACAGGGAAACUUGUGCUAAUACCGGAUAAGCCCUUACGGGGAAAGAUUUAUCGCCGAAAGAUCGGCCCGCGUCUGAUUAGCUAGUUGGUGAGGUAACGGCUCACCAAGGCGACGAUCAGUAGCUGGU